rnacentral:lncRNA from 1 species
CUGUCAGGGCUGUGAUGUUUCAGGGACUUCUCCUGAAGCCCCUUGGGAGGCUGCUUCUUGCCUCAGGACCCCCACCCACUGCCUGCCUGUGCCAGCCACCUGGAGGGAGCCCUCCAUUCCGUUGACUGAGGAGGCAGCAGAUGUCAUAGAACUGCCAUUUAGGCCACAAGCUCUCCCUAAGCCUGCUCUGUGCCCAGCUCUGCUGAGCUGUGAGGACCUAGAUGGGCCAGGGAGAUGGCUGCCUGGGAAGCCGUCAGGCGAGGGGAGAGAAAGACGCACACGCAGAAACGUGGACGGCAGUCACAAGACCGCUAGCAGAUGAGGCAGGAUCUCAGCAUCUGGUGAGAGAGGUGGUGCUGAAUGACCUGAGGCUGUUCCAGAAUAAAGCUGUCUCUAGACGGAGGGACGGGAAGUGGCCAGAAGGGGAAGUGUGAGGAGUUCCCGUCCAGCCUGUCAUCAGUCUCCCCAGGUCUUGAAGCGGCGGCCCUGCUCCUGGCCGUGACCAUGGACCCUCUGGAGACCCCUAUCAAGGAUGGCAUCCUC